GGGGUGCUUCAGCAGCAGUGCAAUGACGAGCAUGCACAGGAUUGAUUGUAUUUUCCUUGGAUGGCUUUCUUGAGCCUUGGAAAUCUGGCUCACUGGGAAUUCUAGGCUUCUGUUGUCCCUUGCUUCCUAUCUGAAAUAUUUGGCAACAUUUUCAGACAUCUUUGAUCAUCACAGUGGGGAGUAAAGCCAGCUGCAAUUAUAAAGAUGCACACACACAAAAGAGAAAGAGGAGCAGAAAGAGUGAAGAAAACAUGUCCAUUUAUCAGAAAAUAAAUAUACAAGUACAAUAGAAGAAAAAGGGGUAGAAAACAUUUUGAAGAUUUAGAAAGGUAGAAGAAAAGGGGGUAGAAAACAUUUUGAAGAUUUAGAAAGGUAAGUUCAUUACCACAUAAAAUAUCUUUCUAAAGCUCCGUUCUUUCAAGUGAUUUUUUUCUUAAAAUUUCCCUUUGUGUUCUGAAUUUGCCUUUAAACUAUUGCUGAAACUAUCUCAGACAGUAUAUUUUUAAUGAUUUAAUUCUUAGAGAAUCUCCUCUGGGUGAACGCUAGGGACAGGGAUUGUUCUAUAGAUGGCAAUGGUAAUAGGCAAAGAGGUAAUAAUUUGAGUGUUAGAUAAAAAUCCAGGUCAAAGCUGCUUUACUACUCUAUUUCAAAUCAUUUUUAAAAGCUAUCAUUAGAUAUUGUCUUUACCUAUUAAUAUUAAAAGACUACUAGCAGUAUUAAAUUAUGCAACAAUUAGUACUUUCUGUAAGCAAUAUUACCAAUACGAAUAGGGAAAAAUAGUAUUUAGUUUACAUAGAGAGUUGGGAGUAUAUCCCUAUGUUUCUCAGAAAACAUCCUAUUGUUUUGUGUAUGUUCUGUAUAACUCAUUUGUUUUUUAAAAAAUCAUACCAAGAGAUAGAAAUUUUUAUUGCCUGCCAGUGUGUAGCAUUUACUUUUCUAAAAACUAAAAAUUGUAUGUGUUUAUGGUAUAAAACAUAUUUUGGCAUAUGUAUACAUUGCAGAAUGGCUAAAUCAAGCUAAUUACCUUUCCAUUACCUCACAGACUUUUUUUUCUUUGUGUGUGGCAAAAACUCUUAAAAUCUACUUUCUUAGCAACUUUUAAAUACAGAAUACAUUGUUCUUAACUGUAGUCACCUUGCUGGGUCUCUUGAAUUUAUUCUUUCUGUCCAACUGAAAUUUUGUAUCCUCUGACCAACAGAGAAAUAGAAAUGUUAAAAGGAUGAAUGUAUGUAUCACACAUCAUUCAUCAGGUAAGAAAAUGUGGCACAUAUACACCAUGGAAUACUAUGCAGCCAUAAAAAUUGAUGAGUUCAUGUCCUUUGUAGGGACAUGGAUGAAAUUGGAAAUCAUCAUUCUUAGUAAACUAUCGCAAGGACAAAAAACCAAACACCUCAUGUUCUCACUCAUAGGUGGGAAUUGAACAAUGAGAACACAUGGACACAGGAAGGGGAACAUCACACUCUGGAGACUGUUGUGGGGUGGGGGGAGGGGGGAGGGAUAGCAUUAGGAGAUAUACCUAAUGCUAAGUGACGAGUUAAUGGGUGCAGUAAACCAGCAUGGCACAUGCAUACAUAUGUAACUAACCUGCACAUUGUGCACAUGUACCCUAAAACUUAAAGUAUAAAAAUAAUAAUUUUUAAAAAUCAGUUUAUCAAUAUCCUCAAAAUAACUUGCUGGUAUUUUGAUUGGGAUUGCAUUGAAUUUAUAGAUUAAUUUUGGAAGAACUGACAUCUUGACAAUAUUGAGUCUUCCUACCCACAAACAUGGAACAUCUUUACUUAGUUCUUUUGUGAUGUCUUUCAUCAGUUUUGUACUUUUUCUCAUAUGGAUCUUGUACAUGUUGUCUUAAAUUUAUACCUAAGGAUUUCAUGGGGGGGUUGAUGUAAAUAAUAUUGUGUUUUUAAUUUCAAAUUCCACUUGUUCAUUACUAGUAUAUAGAAAAUGAUUGACUUUUUUGUAUUAACCUUGGAUCCUACAGCACUGCUAUAAUCACUUAUUAGUUCCUGCCGUUGUCUUUACUUUUUAAUAGGCACAAAAGUGCACAUUAAAUGGAAGUGGCUCUCAUCUUUAAAAAAAAAAAAGAAAUGCUAUUAUUUGAAAACUGUCUAACCAUUGCUGUUAAUCUUGAAUCUGCUGCACUCCUAAUAUCACAUAUUUUGUUAUCUUUCAAUAAUGCCUG
rnacentral:lncRNA from 1 species